AUGCAUUAUACCAACGCUGAAAUAGUAGGCAUGUGCAUAUAUAACAACAAUAUGUAAUAAUAAUAAUAAAUUAUAUUUUAAGUGUAUAAAUAGUAUAUGAUACAAGUAGUAAUAUAUUAUCACGCAGAUAAACACAUGUACACAUAUCUUUAUGUCUCUACCGAGUCAGGUAGGACAUUCCGGCCGGUAUCAGCCGCAUCCCCCUGCCUACUAUAAACGUUAAAAAAUGUCAGUCAAAUUAUUACACCAAAUAACUCUUUAUUGCCAAUUGAAAAAACAAUGCGUAAAAGCAGUAAAUAAUGAACUAUCGCAGCUGGCUCAAUUUGUCCCUUGCGACGCGCUUGGUCCGUCGUCCUCCCAAUCUUGCGCAGAGAUGUGGAAGGAUCUUGUGCCCAAUUGUUGUUCCUACAGCGGAAACCGAACAUUAGAUGAGAGAAACUUACUGUGCACACAUGCCCAGUAUUUGGGAAAACUUAGCUGAACGAUACAUACCUCGGUGCUUUGAUGCGGAGCGAUGUGGGAACUCGUGAUGGGGAGAGCGAUGUGGAAAUUUGUGAUGAUGUGAGUGAUCGUGACUCUGUUCGGCACCGGAUGUCUCGAUACCAAAGGGUCAAGCCUUUACGGCCGGGGCCGGGAUAGGCUGCCCUGAUAUCUGCGAGGAG
rnacentral:lncRNA from 1 species